CCGUACCGUGAGGUGAGGAAUACCACCGAGAAAUCGGUGACAAGACCGCAUACGCUCGGGCUUCCGAGCAAAGUCAUGCAAAUGACGCCACACGAUGGGCCUGCGCCUGAUUAGCUGGUUGGUGAGGUAAUGGCUCACCAAGGCUGCGAUCAGUAGCUGGUCUGAGAGGAUGAUCAGCCACACUGGGAUUGAGAACGGCCCAG
rnacentral:rRNA from 1 species